UAUCAUCUAAAAGAGAAAAGGAGGAACACCUAAAGACCUACACAGAUCUAGCACGAAGGAAAAACCCAAAAAGGACCUAUUUCUUCAUAUCUCCAGCCAUUUUCAGCCAAACCAGAGAGAACCAAACGGACUCCUCCUUCUCUAUCGACUCAUUUUCUUUAAGCAGCCAUAUUUCAUGGCUUAUCUUAACCUAGAACACACUAGCAGCGGGAUCAAUUUCUUUCUUCUUCUUCACCAAACUGUUAAUCCCCCAUUAGUCCCAAAAUAGUCCAUAAAUUCACCUUAAAGCGGUCACAAAGCUAACCUUUAACCUCCAUUUUCGGACAACCAACAGCCCCCAUUUUUUCCUCUAGGUCUCAGCCUUCAAAGACCAUUAAAAUGCAGCAAGAACUCGAUGCAAUUCAGUCUACAAACUCCCCAAAAUCAGCUGGAAAUUGCAGCUGAAACUAACCGAAAACCACCCAAAAAACAGCCUCGAAAUUAUCCAAAAUGCCACCACAGGUGCAAGUCGAAUUGAUGAGCUGUCCGUUUGCAAUUUCGAGAGGUUCGAUUCGAGUUUUUCUCCGAUGUGCGGUCAGAGGUCGAUGACCGUCUUUGUUCACGGUCGGUUUUCAAAUAUAAAAGAAAGUUUGCUACAAAGGUCCAUUCUCCUUCACUUUAUGGUUAAUUUAUUGUUAUUCAAAUAGUGUAUGAAGUCAUUUCUUGUUUUUUUAUGCUUUUUUGGAUGAUUAUUCUUUAUAUUUGAAAUAAAUGUUGGUUGUUUUGCUGAUGUAGUUUCAUCUAGGUAAUUUUUAGAAAACUAAUAUCACUUUUUUUAAUUAAGGCUAAACUGGCAGUUUGACAAGUUUUACAAUUAAUCUUAGUUUGUCUUAUCCUUGAAUAAUGAUAAUUUACUCAUAAUUGAAAUACUUUGUUGAUUUUUCUUUUGGUUUUUUUUUCUUAGAAUAGUUUAUGAUCUAAAUCAAUGGAAUCAGUAACACUAUGCUUAAGUUGGACCUCGAUGCUAAUUUUCAGAGUUACAAGGUUUUUGUUUUGAGUUGAUUUGACCGAAUGAUUGGCCGAAGGUGAAGUUAGCAGACUAUGGGCAGUAAUUUUGAUAUUAGAAAAUGUUGGACCAAGCUAGUUUGGGCCAAAAUAAUUUUGUUAGAUCCAUGGCCCUCAUUUAAUUUUAAUCCUUUAGAGAUUGAGGUAUAUCAUUUAGCGAAUUUCUUGUGGCCCUCGCGCUAAUUUCAUAAUUUAGAUAUAAUAUAUAAUAAGUGAUUGUAGCUUGCUUUAUGCACAUUUAAUAUAUUAUCAUAGUCGUGAAUACGUCCACGUGACGUGAUUACGAUUUUAAAAAUAAAAUUGGAGUAUGCGCUCGCGCAACUUCGACUAAACUUUAUUAAAUAACAAUAAGCGUUAUUAAUUGUGGACACGUUCGCUUGACAUAAUUUUUGACGCGUCAAACAAAUGGGUACACGUAAGCGUGACUCGUUUCAAGAUAAUUUUCUUAAUUUAAAAGCGACAAAAGGUAAAAGCAUAUAGGUUCUAAAAUGAGUAAUUAGACAGUUUAGUAAGCCAAGUAUGAUCAAAGCGAUCGUGUUAAAAUCACAGAACUCGAGAGUGCCUAACACCUUCUCCCGGAUUAACAGAAUUUCUUACCCGAAUUUUCGUGUUCGCAGACCGUAAAAAGAGUCAAUCUUUCCUCGAUUCAGGAUUCAAACCGGUGACUUUGGACACCAUUAAUUAUCCCAAGUAACGAUUCUGAAUUUAAUAAAGAAACAAUCUCGUUUCGAUUGUCACUUUAAGUUGGAAAAAAUUCCCUUAUACGUGUCCUUCGCGGGGUGUAAGUGUAAAAAGGAGGUGUGACAGCUCUGGCAACUCUACUGGGGAAAAGAACCUGGAACCUCUGGUUCACGGUUCAAGAAUUAGAACUUUUAAUGAUUUUUACUUGGCUUUGCUUAUUGUUAAUGCUAUUGUUAUUCUGUGAACUUUUUGUACUAAAUGAUAUUUGUUUUUCAUUUUAAUUUUGUUUGAAUUGUACAUAACUGUCUUCUUACACUACCCAUCUGAGUCUUCUAAGAAAUGGUGUAUAUGUUCGCGUAGCCUGCUUUUUUCUGUAAAAAUUAUACCAAAUAGAACGAGGCUGGGCAAGCGACAAAGCCGGGUAGACUUCAGUGCUCCCAGUACAUCGCCCCCUCUUCGGCCCCAGUUGUCCGCUCCGGUACCCCAAGUCUAGACCAAAAUCCCAGGAUUUAAAGCCCAGAAGAAUACAACCUCAUGCAGGAUCCCUUAUAGGAGCACCUGUUUACAUCACGUGCAUUUGACUUAGGGGACUCAACAUAGGAGUUGGGUCUAUCUAGGACAGGUGUACCCGAAAUAGCAGAGCAUCUUGAUGCAUCCUAUGUGCUACAUGUUGCAUUUUUUCAAGGUUAAAAGGGUCAUUUGACGGACCAAUGUGAGUUGAAGGCAAAUAAAAAGAAAAAAAAAGAAAAAAGAAAGGGUGAAGUGUGAAAAUAAAGCAAAAGGGUCCGAUUAUGUUUUCUGUCACAUUUUUGAAAAAAAAAAAGAAAAAAAAUUCAAAAAGAUUUUGCACUUUUCAAUCAUUUUUCAAAUGUCAAAAAAGAGGAAAAAGAAAAUUCAAAAAGAUUUUUCAUGUUUCAUCUUUCUGAAGGAAAAGACAAAAAAAUAUAUUUUUCUCUAAAUUAGUUAUUUUUAUUUAUUUCUCACCUGUAUCCAAUCGGCCCGAACUACGCAAACCUGAUUCUCGUCUUUCGGGGCGUGAUAUGUAGGCAACCCAUAUAGGGUCCGGUCUUUUUAGUAAAUCUUAGGUUCUUGGCUUUGCAGGGUCUUAGCUAAAUUUUGCACUUCUACCACCUUUUGGCUAAAUAAGUCAUUUUGCAAAAAUAAUCGCAACCAUGUCUUGCAUGUGUGUAAUAGGGAAUGUUAUUAACUCACAUAAUGUUGGUUUAAGUUUUCUCAUACAGGUGUAGAUCUACUUAUCAGAUUUUGAGCAUAACAGAUUGCCCAAGUCCAUUGCAUUCAGAAGUUCCUUAAGGAGAUUUUUUUAUGUCGUCUUUUACUUUCUAGCUUUGUAUAGUAAUGUCAAGUUUUUUUAUU
rnacentral:lncRNA from 1 species